rnacentral:lncRNA from 1 species
UAAUACCAUGUGAAUUUAUUAAUGUUUACUCCGCAACAGGACCAUAUAUGGACUCAAAUUUCAUGAAAACGGCAAGCAUUGGCCUCAGAUAAGGAAAUGUCACUGCGCACUGUGCGGUUAUGGUGCUAUAUCAUGGUGCCGUUUGUACGUACAUCAGUUCAAGGAGCACAACUUCAUUAAACUUCCUGAGACGCCGCAGGAGGGCGCUGAGAACGCAUGCGGGCAUUGCAAAGUUCAGUUUUUAUCGAAGGAAGCUUAUUACAAGCAUUUAAUAAAAGCUGGCCAUGAAGAACUUGAUGUAAUACCGUUUAAGUGUGUCCGAUGUAGAAAAAUCUUUGACAGUGAAGAAGAAGAAGUUUAUCACAAAAAAUCUGUCUGUACCAAAGGCGGCGUGUAUCCCAGUCGGUGCAAUAUUUGCGGCGAAACGGUGGAUUCUCAGUUCAAUUUCUAUCGUCAUUGCAAAAAGUUCCAUCCGAAUUACACUUGUACGCUGAACAAGAGGAAACUCUGCCAUUCGUGUGGU